GACGAACGCUGGCGGCGUGCCUAACACAUGCAAGUCGAGCGGAGGCGGAGGAUAGCCCAGCGAUGGGAAGGAAUCGGCUUUAGCGGCGAACGGGUGAGUAACACGUGGGCAAUCUGCCCUCUGGAGCGGGAUAACAGACCGAAAGGCCUGCUAAUACCGCAUGAGGCCGGACCUUCGCAUGGAGGACCGGUCAAAGGGGAAACCCGCCGGAGGAGGAGCCCGCGUCCCAUUAGCUAGUUGGCGGUGUAAUGGACCACCAAGGCGAUGAUGGGUAGCCGGCCUGAGAGGGUGAACGGCCACAUUGGGACUGAGACACGGCCCAGACUCCUACGGGGGGCAGCAGUGAGGGAUUUUCGGCAAUGGGCGAAAGCCUGGCCGAGCGACGCCGCGUGAGCGAAGAAGGCCUUCGGGUCGUAAAGCUCUGUCUAGGGGGAAGAGAACGGACGGUACCCCUGGAGGAAGCCACGGCUAACUACGUGCCAGCCGCCGCCGUAAUAC
rnacentral:rRNA from 1 species